ACUGAACAGUUUUUCCUCAGUUUUGAAAACAAAAGAACCCAACAAAAGAGAGAUUUGGAUAGCAUAGAAGUUUAUCGCAACUGUGAAAGAAAAAAGGUUUGGGUGGUGUUACGCAGAAGGAAAGCGAUUGCGUCAAAGGAAAUUAGAAGAUUGGUUAACAGAGGCCGUGGUGAUUAACGGCUUAAGCCACGAUUGUACAGUGGAAAACAGGGCAGGAAUCAAGAUCUGGGUCGGAGCGGGGAACAAAAACGGAAGAGAAAGGAUGGAAGAGUUUGGUUUGCCAGAGCGCUUGUUUCAGACAGGUUAUUAACCUACAGGCUGUAAAAUAA